GAUCGAUUGGCCCAGUGGUUAAGGCACCUGCUUUACACGCAGGGGAUCGCAGGUUCGAACCCUGCAUCGAUCA
rnacentral:tRNA from 1 species